rnacentral:lncRNA from 1 species
GUAAAUUAAAGAAUUUAAAGACAAGUGCGUAAUGUAAAUUGAGUAAAAUAAAUAAUUGAAAGUAGGCUUGGAGAGACAAGUGUGUAAACAAAUGAAAAUAAUGUAAAAUGACAAGUUAUGUAUUGUGUCACAAAUCUUUUCUCUCUUCCAAAAGCUUGGUAUUUAUAGGGCUUCGAUACGUCCCAAUUUGGUCAAUCAUCAAUUGACCUUCAAAUCAGUCAUAAUUUCAUACUUGAUAAAUAUCAUUAAUUUUGGCUGAUUGCUUCAAUUUCCUUGGUUGACC